rnacentral:piRNA from 1 species
UAGGAGCAUCUAUAUUGCCUCUUUGCGAUG